UGGGGAAUAUUGCACAAUGGGCGCAAGCCUGAUGCAGCCAUGCCGCGUGUGUGAAGAAGGCCUUCGGGUUGUAAAGCACUUUCAGCGAGGAGGAAGGUGGUGAACUUAAUACGUUCAUCAAUUGACGUUACUCGCAGAAGAAGCACCGGCUAACUCCGUGCCAGCAGCCGCGGUAAUACGGAGGGUGCAAGCGUUAAUCGGAAUUACUGGGCGUAAAGCGCACGCAGGCGGUUUGUUAAGUCAGAUGUGAAAUCCCCGGGCUCAACCUGGGAACUGCAUUUGAAACUGGCAAGCUAGAGUCUCGUAGAGGGGGGUAGAAUUCCAGGUGUAGCGGUGAAAUGCGUAGAGAUCUGGAGGAAUACCGGUGGCGAAGGCGGCCCCCUGGACGAAGACUGACGCUCAGGUGCGAAAGCGUGGGGAGCAAACAGAUUAGAUACCCUGGUAGUCCACGCUGUAAACGAUGUCGAUUUUGGAGGUUGUGCCCUUGAGGCGUGGNUUCCGGAGCUAACGNGUUAAAUCGACCGCC
rnacentral:rRNA from 1 species